rnacentral:rRNA from 1 species
ACGCUGGCGGCGUGCUUAACACAUGCAAGUCGAACGGUGACCCAGGGCUUGCCCUGGUGAUCAGUGGCGAACGGGUGAGUAACACGUGGGCAACCUGCCCCUGACUUCGGGAUAACUCCUCGAAAGAGGAGCUAAUACCGGAUACGACCACUUCGGACAUCCGAUGGUGGUGGAAAGUUUUUCGGUCAGGGAUGGGCCCGCGGCCUAUCAGCUAGUUGGUGGGGUAAUGGCCUACCAAGGCGACGACGGGUGGCCGGCCUGAGAGGGCGACCGGCCACACUGGGACUGAGACACGGCCCAGACUCCUACGGGAGGCAGCAGUGGGGAAUAUUGCGCAAUGGGCGAAAGCCUGACGCAGCGACGCCGCGUGAGGGAUGAAGGCCUUCGGGUUGUAAACCUCUUUCAGCAGGGACGAAGCGAAAGUGACGGUACCUGCAGAAGAAGCACCGGCUAACUACGUG